CCUACGGGUGGCAGCAGUGGGGAAUAUUGGACAAUGGGGGGAACCCUGAUCCAGCCAUGCCGCGUGUGUGAAGAAGGCCCUCGGGUUGUAAAGCACUUUCAGUGAGGAAGAACGCCUGGUGGUUAAUACCCAUCAGGAAAGACAUCACUCACAGAAGAAGCACCGGCUAACUCCGUGCCAGCAGCCGCGGUAAUACGGAGGGUGCGAGCGUUAAUCGGAAUUACUGGGCGUAAAGCGCGCGUAGGUGGCUUGAUAAGCCGGUUGUGAAAGCCCCGGGCUCAACCUGGGAACGGCAUCGGGAACUGUCAAGCUAGAGUGCAGGAGAGGAAGGUAGAAUUCCCGGUGUAGCGGUGAAAUGCGUAGAGAUCGGGAGGAAUACCAGUGGCGAAGGCGGCCUUCUGGACUGACACUGACACUGAGGUGCGAAAGCGUGGGUAGCAAACAGGAUUAGAUACCCCAGUAGUC
rnacentral:rRNA from 1 species